AUCCUUUUGUAGUUUGUAACUGUGAUGACUGCGCGUUCACACUCUUAUGUUCAGAUGUGCCUCCCUCAAACCUCGUAAUACACGGGCACAUUACACAUCUGAGA